UACGAAGGGGGCUAGCGUUGCUCGGAAUCACUGGGCGUAAAGCGCACGUAGGCGGCUUCUUAAGUCAGGGGUGAAAUCCUGGAGCUCAACUCCAGAACUGCCUUUGAUACUGGGGAGCUAGAGUCCGGGAGAGGUGAGUGGAACUGCGAGUGUAGAGGUGAAAUUCGUAGAUAUUCGGAGGAACACCAGUGGCGAAGGCGGCUCACUGGCUCGGUACUGACGCUGAGACGCGAAAGCGUGGGGAGCAAACAGG
rnacentral:rRNA from 1 species